AAACUAAUCACAAGUGUAAAUAUAGCACCAAUAUUAUUAAAAUAGAGACAAUAAUAAGAGUUGACAGGAUGCGGAGAAAUUAAAUCCUCAUACAUUGCUGAUAGGAAUAUAAUGUGUACUCACUUUGCAAGCCAGCCUGGUAGUAACUCAAAAUGUUAAAUAAAGAGUUAUCAUAUAAUCUAGUCUAUUAAUUUUCUGUUGCUCCUGUAACAGAUCACUACAAACUCAGUAGCUGAAGAUGUCACGGAUUUUAUUCUCUUAUAGUUCUGGAUCUCUGAGCCAUGAAUUGAGAAACUUUUCUGCACCACACCCUUCUACCAUGAUGUUCCUGCCUUGGAGCCUGACAACCAUGGAUUGAAUCCCCUGAACUAAUAUCUGCCUGCAAGUUUACUUUCCAACCAAGCCAAAAAUCAACAACAGCUUCAACAGCAGCAACAACAAUGACACGUAGCUUCUCAAAGGAAAUAUAACCAUCUGCAUUCCACAGAGGAGCUUUCAGGGGCUUCA
rnacentral:lncRNA from 1 species